rnacentral:rRNA from 1 species
GAUGAACGCUAGCGGCAGGCUUAAUACAUGCAAGUCGAGGGGUAACAGGUCUGUAGCAAUACAGAUGCUGACGACCGGCAAACGGGUGCGGAACACGUACAGAACCUUCCUUCGAGUGGGAGAUAGCCCAGGGAAACUUGGAGUAAUAUCCCAUAGGAUCAUAGAGUGGCAUCACUUAGUGAUUAAAGAUUUAUCGCUUGAAGAUGGCUGUGCGGCUGAUUAGGUAGUUGGUGUAGGUAACGGCUCACCAAGCCUUCGAUCAGUAACUGGUGUGAGAGCACGACCAGGCACAAGGGCACUGAGACACGGGCCCGACUCCUACGGGAGGCAGCAGUAAGGAAUAUUGGGCAAUGGAGGCAACUCUGACCCAGCCAUGCCGCGUGGAGGAUGAAGGUCCUCUGGAUUGUAAACUUCUUUUAUUUGGGAAGAAAUGCCGAUUUUCUAAUUGGUUUGACGGUACCAGAUGAAUAAGCACCGGCUAACUCCGUGCCAGCCGCCGCCGUAACAC